rnacentral:rRNA from 1 species
CGGGGCUUAAAGUCUUGUAAUUGGAAUGAUGGGAAUUUAAACCUCUUCCAGAGUAUCAAUUGGAGGGCAAGUCUGGUGCCAGCAGCCGCGGUAAUUCCAGCUCCAAUAGCGUAUAUUAAAAUUGUUGCAGUUAAAAAGCUCGUAGUUGAAUUUCUGCUGCAUCGCUGCGUCCCCCCGGGGUCUCUGCAUGUGGCUUAUUUCAGACGAAGUUUCUUUGUCUGGAUGUUUACUUUGAGAAAAUUAGAGUGCUCAAAGCAGGCCUUUGCCUUGAAUAGUUUAGCAUGGAAUAAUAAAGUAGGACUUUGGUUCUAUUUUGUUGGUUUUAGGUACCAAAGUAAUGGUUAAUAGGAACAGUUGGGGGCAUUCGUAUUUAACUGUCAGAGGUGAAAUUCUUAGAUUUGUUAAAGACGAACUACUGCGAAAGCAUUUGCCAAGGAUGUUUUCAUUAAUCAAGAAC